rnacentral:lncRNA from 1 species
UUUCUUUCUUUAGGUGACUAGCCACUUUAAAUGCAGUAAGAAAAGGAAUAGUACAGAAUGGAUGACCUCUAUCACAAUAAAGAAUGAUUGGCAAGGCAAGGGCACCAGGGAAGUUCACAGGAGCAGGAUCCAUAACAAAAGCAGCUUUCCAGCAGGGCAAAAUAAGGGCCAUGGUCCUUAAUAUCUUCUUGUUUGGAGGGAAUCAUAGCUCCAGUUUUGCUGUCCUUCAUCUUUAUACUGGGGUCCCUCCGGGCCUUAGACAAGAGGCUUGCUGAUUACCCCAUUUGAGACAAAGCGGGAGAGGAAGUCAAUUGUGUUACAUCUGGACUACAAAAAUAUUUUAUUUGUGGCUUUGCAGCUGGCUAACAAAGGAGUCAGAAGCAGCAUACAGGCCAUCCCUCCUUCCAGAAAGUUCUGUUCAUAAUACCUGCAAAUUUCCC